CCUACGGGAGGCAGCAGUGAGGAAUAUUGGUCAAUGAACGAGAGUCUGAACCAGCCAAGUAGCGUGAAGGAUGACUGCCCUAUGGGUUGUAAACUUCUUUUAUAUGGGAAUAAAAUGUUCCACGUGUGGGAUUUUGUAUGUACCAUAUGAAUAAGGAUCGGCUAACUCCGUGCCAGCAGCCGCGGUAAUACGGAGGAUCCGAGCGUUAUCCGGAUUUAUUGGGUUUAAAGGGAGCGUAGGUGGAUUGUUAAGUCAGUUGUGAAAGUUUGCGGCUCAACCGUAAAAUUGCAGUUGAAACUGGCAGUCUUGAGUACAGUAGAGGUGGGCGGAAGUCGUGGUGUAGCGGUGAAAUGCUUAGAUAUCACGAAGAACUCCGAUUGCGAAGGCAGUUCACUGGACUGCAACUGACACUGAGGCUCGAAAGUGUGGGUAUCAAACAGGAUUAGAUACCCCAGUAGUC
rnacentral:rRNA from 1 species